GGGCUCAUAGCUCAGAUGGUUAGAGCGUUGCAUUGACAUUGCAAAGGUCAGAGGUCCGAUUCCUCUUGAGCCCACCA
rnacentral:tRNA from 1 species